rnacentral:rRNA from 1 species
UACGUAGGGAGCUAGCGUUGUCCGGAAUCAUUGGGCGUAAAGCGCGCGUAGGCGGCCCGGUAAGUCCGCUGUGAAAGUCAAAGGCUCAACCUUUGAAUGUCAGCGGAUACUGCCGGGCUAGAGUCCGGAAGAGGCGAGUGGAACUCCUGGUGUAGCGGUGGAAUGCGCAGAUAUCAGGAAGAACACCAACGGCGAAGGCAGCUCGCUGGGACGGAACUGACGCUGAGGCGCGAAAGCGUGGGGAGCGAACAGG